ACGCUAGCGGUAAGCUUAACACAUGCAAGUCGAGCGGUAUCAAAAGGUUUUUUUUUUGACGAGCGGCAAACGGGUGAGUAAUAUCUGGGGAUCUACUUAAUAAAGAGGGAUAACUACUAGAAAUGGUAGCUAAUACCACAUAAUGUCGAUAGACUAAAUGUAGGGGAUUUAUUUUAUAAACCUUAUGUUAUUAAAUGAACCCAGAGAAGAUUAGCUAGUAGGUGAGGUAAUAGCUCUACCUAGGCAAUGAUCUUUAGCUGAUCUGAGAGGAUAAUCAGCCACACUGGAACUGAGAUACGGUCCAGACUCCUACGGGAGGCAGCAGUGGGGAAUAUUGCACAAUGGGGGAAACCCUGAUGCAGCUAUACCGCGUGUGUGAAGAAGACCUUAGGGUUGUAAAACACUUUCAGUAAAGAAGAAGUUAAUUAUAUUAAUAAUAUAAUUAAUUGACGUUAUUUACAAAAGAAGCACCGGCUAACUCCGUGCCAGCAGCCGCGGUAAUACGGGGGGUGCUAGCGUUAAUCGAAAUUACUGGGCGUAAAGCGCACGCAGGUGGUUUUUUAAGUUAGAUGUGAAAUCCUUAAGCUUAACUUAAGAAUUGCAUUUAAAACUGAUUAACUAGAGUUUUGUAGAGGAGAGUAGAAUUCCAAGUGUAGCGGUGAAAUGUGUAGAUAUUUGGAGGAAUACCAGUGGCGAAGGCGGCUCUCUGGACAAAAACUGACACUAAUGUGCGAAAGCGUGGGGAGCAAACAGGAUUAGAUACCCUGGUAGUCCACGCUGUAAACGAUGUCAAUUUAAAAGUUGUAGUUUUAUAUUUAUGGCUUUUGAAGCUAACGCGUUAAAUCGACCGCCUGGGAAGUACGACCGCARGGUUAAAACUCAAAUGAAUUGACGGGGGCCCGCACAAGCGGUGGAGCAUGUGGUUUAAUUCGAUGCAACACGAAAAACCUUACCUACUCUUGACAUUCAGAGUAACUUAACAGAGAUUUUUUGGUACCUUAGGGAUCUCUGAAACAGGUGCUGCAUGGCUGUCGUCAGCUCGUGUUGUGAAAUGUUGGGUUAAGUCCCGCAACGAGCGUAACCCUUGUUCUUUAUUGCCAUCGAUACGGUCGGGAACUUAAAGAAGACUGCCAGUGAUAAAUUGGAGGAAGGUGAGGACGACGUCAAGUUAUCAUGGCCCUUAUGAGUAGGGCUACACACGUGCUACAAUGGUAUAUACAAAGAGAAGCAAAUCUGCAAAGACAAGCAAAUCUCAUAAAUUAUAUCAAAGUCCGGAUUGGAGUCUGCAACUCGACUCCAUGAAGUCGGAAUCGCUAGUAAUCGUGAAUCAGAAUGUCACGGUGAAUACGUUCUCGGGCCUUGUACACACCGCCCGUCACACCAUGGAAGUGAAUUGCAAAAGAAGUAAAUAUCUUAACCUUAUGGAAGGAAUUUACCACUUUGUGGUUCAUGA
rnacentral:rRNA from 1 species